rnacentral:rRNA from 1 species
AGCGAAUGCUGGCGGCAGGCCUAACACAUGCAAGUCGAACGGACCCUUCGGGGUUAGUGGCGGACGGGUGAGUAACACGUGGGAACGUGCCUUUAGGUUCGGAAUAGCUCCUGGAAACGGGUGGUAAUGCCGAAUGUGCCCUUCGGGGGCAGGAGUUAUCGCCUUUAUAGCGGCCCGGUUCUGAUUAGCUAGUUGGUGAGGUAAAGGCUCACCAAGGCUACGAUCAGUAGCUGGUCUGAGAGUAAGACCAGCUACAUUGGGACUGAGACACGGCCCAAACUCCCGCGGGAGGCAGCGGUGGGGAAUCUUGCGCAAUGAGCGAAAGCCUGACGCAGCCAUGCCGCGUGAAUGAUGAAGGUCGUAUGAUUGUAAAAUUCUUUCACCGGGGACGAUAAUGACGGUACCCGGAGAAGAAGCCCCGGCUAACUUCGUGCCAGCCGCCGCAGUAA